UACGGAGGGUGCAAGCGUUACUCGGAAUCACUGGGCGUAAAGGGCGCGUAGGCGGGUUAUCAAGUCUUGAGUGAAAUCCAACGGCUCAACCGUUGAACUGCUUGAGAAACUGGUAGCCUAGAAUGUGGGAGAGGCAGAUGGAAUUGGUGGUGUAGGGGUAAAAUCCGUAGAGAUCACCAGGAAUACCCAUUGCGAAGGCGAUCUGCUGGAACACUAUUGACGCUGAGGCGCGAAAGCGUGGGGAGCAAACAGG
rnacentral:rRNA from 1 species